rnacentral:rRNA from 1 species
AACGAACGCUGGCGGCGGGCUUAACACAUGCAAGUCGAACGGAAAGGCCCUGCGUUUGUGGGGUGCUCGAGUGGCGAACGGGUGAGUAACACGUGAGUAACCUGCCCUUGACUUUGGGAUAACUUCAGGAAACUGGGGCUAAUACCGUAUAGGAGCUCCUGCUGCAUGGUGGGGGUUGGAAAGUUUCGGCGGUUGGGGAUGGACUCGCGGCUUAUCAGCUUGUUGGUGGGGUAGUGGCUUACCAAGGCUUUGACGGGUGGCCGGCCUGAGAGGGUGACCGGCCACAUUGGGACUGAGAUAAGGCGCAGACUCCUACGGGAGGCAGCAGUGGGGAAUCUUGCACAAUGGGCGGAAGCCUGAUGCAGCAACGCCGCGUGCGGGAUGACGGCCUUCGGGUUGUAAAACGCUUUCGCCUGUGACGAAGCGUGAGUGACGGUAAUGGGUAAAGAAGCACCGGCUAACUACGUG